GGCACGCAUCCUCCUCUUCCCGAACUCAAGCCUUUCCCAUCGCCAACACCUUCACAGCAACCCAGUCGUCACUCAUGAAUGAAUUUCCAGUCCUGAUCAUCAUAAAGAAUCAGCAUAAGAAUCCGGUUUCUUCAAAGGUUUCAUGUAACCAUGGUCCACCUAGGAAAAUAUUUCCAUGGGUACGAGGAUCUUACUGUAGUAGCAACAUGUGAAGUGCGGGCCUCCAUCAAAGGUCCUUCUUCAAGACCAGUUUCCUUCUGGCAGGUUGUACUUGCAGUUACAUAAUGCAUGCAAGGGGGAUGAAGUUGGGGAGAACCAAUGGGAAAAAAUGUGAGUAUGUGUGUGUGAGAAAGAGAGAG